UCUUUUUUGAUUUCUGGCAAUUGUUUUAAGUUGAAUUCUUACAAAUAAAUCUUGCAUUUAUUUUAAAUUUAAAGUAGCUUUAAAUUUACAAAUAAUUAUUAUAAAUUCAAUUGGAAUUAGCUUGUACAAUUCAUGGGAUUCCAAUUCACUUCAAGGGAAUUUAUAAAGGCAUUUUAGAAUUCAACUGCAGAUUCACAGAACUUUCUAGAUGCAUCUAGAAAGUUCUCAAUGUAAAUCAAAUGGGUGGGUGGGUUUUGCACGACCCUCCCAGGGCUGCUGCCCGCGCUAUAAAAGGCGCUCCGUCCGCUGGCUCGAUGCAGAAGGCUGACUGACCUCAGAGAAAUCAGAGGACACCUGGACUUCCAGUGCAGUUCCGGACACCCGUCCGAACCCUUCGCACUCGUCCGAGCCGUCCCAAGGCCCCGACCGCUGCCUUUGUCCCGACGCUGUCUCGUCCGAGGACAGCCGGAAGGCCGACCGCGUCCCGAGCCCCUCGAGCGGCACGCCUGUGUCCAUCGUACUGUCCGGGGUGUGGCCGAGCCGUCCGAAGCCGUACGGAGCAGUUUUGCCAGCUCCUUCCUGUCCGAGGAAUCGGGCGCCGACGUGGCACGCCGCCAGCGAGCGCUCGGACGAAGGCGUCCGAACGUCCGCCGCCAGAGACCCGCACGCCGUGGGCCCCGGCCGCGCCGAGAGCCGCCGCCGACCUGCAGGGAGCCGUCCGGGUUCCCAGCAAGGACGUUUCCAGGGCAGCCUGCCGGCCUACCCAGGGAACACCGCUCCCAUUUGUUGAUUUUAAGUGACACUAUACGGACAAUUUUGAGCCAGUGAAUUUACCCUAUCCAGCCAGAAUUGUUGUGAAUACAAUAAAGCCCGUGUGUAAGCCAA